CUGGUUCUAGUUCAGUGGUAGGGUAUAUGUCUUGCAUGCAUAAGAUCCUAAGCUCAAUUUCUGGAAUCUAGG